rnacentral:ncRNA from 1 species
GCAUAAUACCCGUUCGCCGGUGCCUUUCGGGGCCUAAGAGGGAACACACAUCACUGCGAUGACCGUGACUGCCCCCGCAACUGUAUGCAGCGAGUCCACGCCAAUUUGCGCCACUGGUGAUACCGGGAAGGCCGGUGUGGACGUUGACCCGCAGCGCUUUGCAUGGGACCAGAGUAAGACGCUCAAGCGUCAACGCUGGUCGACACAGGAAACCUGCCGGCCAACAGUUCGUGCCA